AUACUGCCGGGGUCAACUCGGAGGAAGGUGGGGACGACGUCAAAUCAUCAUGCCCCUUAUGUCUUGGGCUUCACGCAUGCUACAAUGGCCAGUACAAAGGGCUGCAAUACCGUAAGGUGGAGCGAAUCCCAAAAAGCUGGUCCCAGUUCGGAUUGAGGUCUGCAACUCGACCUCAUGAAGUCGGAGUCGCUAGUAAUCGCAGAUCAGCAACGCUGCGGUGAAUACGUUCCCGGGCCUUGUACACACCGCCCGUCAAGUCAUGAAAGUCGGUAACACCCGAAGCCAGUGGCCUAACCGCAAGGAUGGAGCUGUCUAAGGUGGGAUCGGUAAUUAGGACUAAGUCGUAACAAGGUAGCCGUACCGGAAGGUGCGGCUGGAUCACCUCCUUU
rnacentral:rRNA from 1 species